rnacentral:pre_miRNA from 14 species
ACAUACCAGCAUUCAAGCCCAUUCAUCCGCUGGUGGGGAUUUGUCGCAUUACUUGUGUUCUAUGGUAAAGUAUUGCACUUGUCCCGGCCUGUGGAGGAAAGGAGGAUUUGAUCGUCGUCUUA